UACGAGGGGGGCGAGCGUUGUUCGGAAUUAUUGGGCGUAAAGGGUGCGUAGGCGGUUUGGUAAGUCUCGUGUGAAAUCUCCGGGCUCAACUCGGAGCCUGCACGAGAAACUGCCGGGCUUGAGUGUGGGAGAGGUGAGUGGAAUUCCUGGUGUAGCGGUGAAAUGCGUAGAUAUCUGGAGGAACACCGGUGGCGAAGGCGGGUCUCUGGGCCGAUACUGACGCUGAGGAGCGAAAGCGUGGGGAGCGAACAGG
rnacentral:rRNA from 1 species